GGGUAUAGCUCAGUGGUAGAGCGCCUGCUUAGCAUGCACAAGCUUUUGAGUUCAAUCCCCAGUACCUCCA
rnacentral:tRNA from 1 species